CUCCCUGUGCGUUCCCAGGCCCUCAGCGCUUCUUUCCCGGGUGCCACGCCAAUUGUUGGGAAGACUGACCACUCCCCGCCUCCCCGCACCGUGGUUCCGGAGUGACCCUUCCACCGCGCCAGAGCAGGCUGCACUGGAGUCCGGGGCCAAGGCCCUGCACUGGCUGAGCCGAGGCCAGGCAGGGAAGAAAGAUCCCCGAGGGGGACAUUGGGACCGGUAAUCCCCGCCGUCCACAGCUCUCCCGCCCUCCAGCCCCAAGAGCAGAGCUGUAGCUGGCCCCAGGGCCCUCGAGAUGCCCCAGGCUGGAGGCAAAGGACAGAGGCAAAGGUCAGAAGGUCUGGUGCUGCUUGCAAAGACUGUCCUCGCACGUGCUGGGGGAGGGCAGCCUUUGAGGCUGGUGCCCUAAGUCCCCCAUUCCCCCUCUUCUCCCCCCCCGCCCCCCUCCUCCAGCUCUCCCCCCACCUCUGGGAGAGAGGCAGCACCCAUCUGGGUAGGUGCCUGCGACUCUCCCCGUGGCUGUGAUCUUGGGCCACUCUGGCCUGUGAGGGGGGGACUGGGACUGCUCUGGGGGGCUGUGAGGAUCGGAGAGAUGCUCCCGGUUCUUCAUGCACAUGGGGUGGAUCUGGGCAGCUGGGAGGGUCCUCCCGGCUGUGUGAUCUUCAGAAAGGCCCUUCCCUCUCUGGACCUUGUUUUCCUGAGUACGUUCGGGUUGGGUGGAGGCCCAGCAGUCUGGGGUAGGCACUGGGAGGCCGAGCUGGGUUCCAGGAGGGAAGAGGUGUGACAGGACACACGUGGAGUGUUUGAAAUGUGGGGAGAACAUACCUGAGAU